rnacentral:rRNA from 1 species
CAGUCGAACGAAGCACUUUAUUUGAUUUCCUUCGGGACUGAUUAUUUUGUGACUGAGUGGCGGACGGGUGAGUAACGCGUGGGUAACCUGCCUUGUACAGGGGGAUAACAGUUGGAAACGGCUGCUAAUACCGCAUAAGCGCACGGCAUCGCAUGAUGCAGUGUGAAAAACUCCGGUGGUAUAAGAUGGACCCGCGUUGGAUUAGCUAGUUGGUGAGGUAACGGCCCACCAAGGCGACGAUCCAUAGCCGACCUGAGAGGGUGACCGGCCACAUUGGGACUGAGACACGGCCCAAACUCCUACGGGAGGCAGCAGUGGGGAAUAUUGCACAAUGGGCGAAAGCCUGAUGCAGCGACGCCGCGUGAGCGAAGAAGUAUUUCGGUAUGUGAAGCUCUAUCAGCAGGGAAGAUAAUGACGGUACCUGACUAAGAAGCACCGGCUAAAUACGUGCCAGCAGCCGCGGUAAUACGUAUGGUGCAAGCGUUAUCCGGAUUUACUGGGUGUAAAGGGAGCGCAGGCGGUGCGGCAAGUCUGAUGUGAAAGCCCGGGGCUCAACCCCGGUACUGCAUUGGAAACUGUCGUACUAGAGUGUCGGAGGGGUAAGCGGAAUUCCUAGUGUAGCGGUGAAAUGCGUAGAUAUUAGGAGGAACACCAGUGGCGAAGGCGGCUUACUGGACGAUAACUGACGCUGAGGCUCGAAAGCGUGGGGAGCAAACAGGAUUAGAUACCCUGGUAGUCCACGCCGUANACGAUGAAUACUAGGUGUUGGGAANCAUUG